rnacentral:tRNA from 2 species
AGGGGUGUAGCCAAGCGGUAAGGCACGGGACUUUGACUCCCGCACUCGUAAGUUCAAAUCUUGCCACCCCUGCCA